rnacentral:rRNA from 1 species
AUUGAACGCUGGCGGCAUGCCUUACACAUGCAAGUCGAACGGCAGCACGGGAGCAAUCCUGGUGGCGAGUGGCGAACGGGUGAGUAAUAUAUCGGAACGUGCCCAGUCGUGGGGGAUAACGCAGCGAAAGCUGUGCUAAUACCGCAUACGAUCUAAGGAUGAAAGCGGGGGAUCGCAAGACCUCGCGCGAUUGGAGCGGCCGAUAUCAGAUUAGCUAGUUGGUGGGGUAAAGGCCCACCAAGGCGACGAUCUGUAGCUGGUCUGAGAGGACGACCCGCCACACUGGAACUGAGGCACGGUCCAGACUCCUACGGGAGGCAGCAGUGGGGAAUUUUGGACAAUGGGCGCAAGCCUGAUCCAGCAAUGCCGCGUGCAGGAUGAAGGCCUUCGGGUUGUAAACUGCUUUUGUACGGAACGAAACGGCCCUUUCUAAUACAGGGGGCUAAUGACGGUACCGUAAGAAUAAGCACCGGCUAACUACGUGCCAGCCGCCGCGGUAA